rnacentral:rRNA from 1 species
AUUGAACGCUGGCGGCAGGCCUAACACAUGCAAGUCGAGCGGAUGAAGGGAGCUUGCUCCUGGAUUCAGCGGCGGACGGGUGAGUAAUGCCUAGGAAUCUGCCUGGUAGUGGGGGAUAACGUCCGGAAACGGGCGCUAAUACCGCAUACGUCCUGAGGGAGAAAGUGGGGGAUCUUCGGACCUCACGCUAUCAGAUGAGCCUAGGUCGGAUUAGCUAGUUGGUGGGGUAAAGGCCUACCAAGGCGACGAUCCGUAACUGGUCUGAGAGGAUGAUCAGUCACCUGGAACCUGGAACACGUCCCGAAUCCUAACGGACGCAAGCAUGGGGAAUAUUUGACCAAGGGCGGAAGGCUUGUUCCGGCCAGGCCGGUGGGUUGAAGAGGUCCUCCGGAUGGUAAGGCACUUUAGGUGGGGAGGAAGGGCAUUAGUUUAAUACCUGCCUGUUUGAAGGUACCCAACGAAUUAAGCACCGCCAACCUCGUU